rfam:Daphnia pulex DAPPTscaffold_272_Cont8130, whole genome shotgun sequence.
GGUCCUAUGGCUUAGAAGACAAAGCGCCUGCCUAGUAAGCAGAAGAUCAUGAGUUCGAGUCUCGUUGGGACUU